UACGGAGGGUGCAAGCGUUGUCCGGAUUUAUUGGGUUUAAAAGGGGUGCGUAGGCGGUCUGGUAAGUCGGCGGUGAAAGCCCGGGGCUCAAGCCCCGGAACCUGCCCAUCGAUACUGUCAGACUUGAGUGUGGUUGAGGGUGGCGGAAUGGGCGGUGUAGCGGUGAAAUGCAUAGAUACCGUCCAGAACCCCGAUUGCGAGCGAGCGCUGCCAGCCACAACUACGCUGAGGCACGAAAGCGUGGGAGCAACAGGG
rnacentral:rRNA from 1 species